rnacentral:rRNA from 1 species
GACGAACGCUGGCGGCGCGCCUAACACAUGCAAGUCGAACGGUGAAGAGGAGCUUGCUCCUCGGAACAGUGGCGGACGGGUGAGUAACACGUGAGCAACCUGGCUCUAAGAGGGGGACAACAGUUGGAAACGACUGCUAAUACCGCAUGACGUAUCGGGAUGGCAUCUUCCUGCUACCAAAGAUUUUAUCGCUUAGAGAUGGGCUCGCGUCUGAUUAGAUAGUUGGCGGGGUAACGGCCCACCAAGUCGACGAUCAGUAGCCGGACUGAGAGGUUGAACGGCCACAUUGGGACUGAGACACGGCCCAGACUCCUACGGGAGGCAGCAGUGGGGGAUAUUGGACAAUGGGGGCAACCCUGAUCCAGCGACGCCGCGUGAGGGAAGAAGGUUUUCGGAUUGUAAACCUCUGUUGACGGAGAAAAAAAUGAUGGUAUCCGUUUAGAAAGCCACGGCUAACUACGUG